CCUACGGGAGGCUGCAGUGAGGAAUAUUGGUCAAUGGGCUUACGCCUGAACCAGCCAAGUCGCGUGAGGGAAGACUGCCCUAUGGGUUGUAAACCUCUUUUGUCAGGGAACAACGCCGGCUACGUGUAGCCGGACUGAGAGUACCUGAAGAAAAAGCAUCGUCUAACUCCGUGCCAGCAGCCGCGGUAAUACGGAGGAUGCGAGCGUUAUCCGGAUUUAUUGGGUUUAAAGGGUGCGUAGGCGGAAUGCCAAGUCAGCGGAAAAAUCGCGGGGCUCAACCCCGCGACGCCGUUGAAACUGGAGUUCUUGGGUGGGCGAGAAGUAUGCGGAAUGGGGGGUGUAGCGGUGAAAGGCAUGGA
rnacentral:rRNA from 1 species